GUAUCCAUGAUGUGGGCAUAGCAAUAAAAGUGACUUGAAGUGAUCACAUGCUUCAUAUAAGAAUUUAGUAUCCUUUUGAUAAAAGUUAAAAAUUUCAGCUCUUAAUUC